UAGGGAAUCUUCCGCAAUGGGCGAAAGCCUGACGGAGCAACGCCGCGUGAGUGAUGAAGGUCUUCGGAUCGUAAAACUCUGUUAUUAGGGAAGAACAAAUGUGUAAGUAACUAUGCACGUCUUGACGGUACCUAAUCAGAAAGCCACGGCUAACUAGGUGCCAGCAGCCGCGGUAAUACGUAGGUGGCAAGCGUUAUCCGGAAUUAUUGGGCGGAAAGCGCGCGUAGGCGGUUUUUUAAGUCUGAUGUGAAAGCCCACGGCUCAACCGUGGAGGGUCAUUGGAAGCUGGAAAACUUGAGUGCAGAAGAGGAAAGUGGAAUUCCAUGUGUAGCGGUGAAAUGCGCAGAGAUAUGGAGGAACACCAGUGGCGAAGGCGACUUUCUGGUCUGUAACUGACGCUGAUGUGCGAAAGCGUGGGGAUCAAACAGG
rnacentral:rRNA from 1 species